UACACUGGAUCACAAAUUUGAAUUUGUUUUUUGUUCCACGGAUGCCACUAUCCAAUUUGUAUGUGAAAUGGCUCGCUGAUUUCGAAAAUCGAGUUAAUUUUUUUUUUCAUGGAUACGUUUUUGAGAUAUUUGCAAUUUACCGUUAUUCGACCAAAAAAAAAAGGUGUCUUCAUUUAAUCAUGUAUAUCUCACUGACCAGUUGAGCAAUCUUACUGCAAAUUAUAGAAAAUGAAAGUGAAUGAAAUUUCCUAAAAAUAUUGUCUACUUCAUUUUUCCAUAGGCCUUAUAAUUUCUGAGAAAUUGAUUAAUAACUUCGUGUUUUUAAAUUUUUUUAUGAAAAAAUUAAAAAAAAAUAAACUUUGGCAAGGAAAAAAUUUUAAAACAAAAGAUAUUUUUAAAUUCUUUUUUUAUUUUAUAUGAAGUCCUGUUUCUUUAUAAAAAACUAAGCUACCAACGAACAAAAUCCAUGGAUAAAUAGGAAAGUUGUACAUGAUCAAAGAAAUAUAUCCAAGUCGCGCAAAGUCAAUGUAUUCGUAUAUGCGUAUGUUAUUCAAAGAGUUUGGUCAACCAUAUGAUUCCGAGGAGUGGCGAUUGUUCAUAGACAGCAAUAAACUGAGCUUGAAGGCCGUAUUACUGCAUAAUGGCAACAAAAAGCCCUCGAUCCCGAUCGCGCAUGCAGUAAACACGAAGGAAACAUACGAGGUAAUGGAGAAAUUGUUAAAAUUCAUCAAAUAUGAAGAGCAUGAUUGGAAAAUAUGUGCCGAUCUUAAAGUCGUUGGAAUGUUAUGCGGUUUACAAAGUGGCUACACAAAACACUGCUGCUUUCUCUGCAAAUGGGAUAGCCGAGCUCGUAAAGACCACUAUUGCAUUAAGGAUUGGCCGGAAAGAGUUGAAUUUACAAUUGGUGUGGAUAAUAUCAAAUACAUCCCACUUGUAAAGAAGGAAAAAAUCAUUCUUCCGGAAUUGCACAUCAAGCUCGGCCUCAUUAAAAAUUUUGUUAAGGCGUUGGACAAAGAAGGCAAAGCAUUCAAUUAUUUGCAAAAUUUUUUCCCAAAUAUUUCCCAGGCCAAGAUAAAGGAAGGUAUAUUUGUUGGACCCUAAAUAAAAAAGUUGAUAAAUAAUGACCAAUUCAAAGGACUAUUGUCACCAGUUGAGGCAGCAGCGUGGGAUUCCUUCGAAAUGAUCGUUUCUUCUUUUCUCGGUAAACACAAAAGUCCAAACUACGAGAAGAUAGUGAGCGACUUGAUCAAAAAUUAUGCAGAAAUGGGCGUAAAUAUGUCUCUAAAAAUUCAUUUUCUGCAUUCCCAUUUAAGUUUUUUUCCGGCAAAUCUCGGAGACGAAAGUGACGAGCAUGGCGAAAGGUUUCACCAGCAAAUGAAAUUAAUUGAGAAUCGAUACCAAGGUUUCUGGGACGUCGGUAUGAUGGGUGACUACUGUUGGUUUCUCAUAAGAGAAACCGAUCCUAAACUAAAUAAACGACAAAACAAAACACAUAAUCAUUUCGACUAUAAUGUAAGAACAUCAACUUAAGACAAAAAUAACACAUUGUUUUAAUAUAUAUUACUAAUAUAUAAAUAAAUGAGUUUAUAAAAACUAAAAACGA